GUGCCCUACGGGAGGCAGCAGUAGGGAAUUUUCGUCAAUGGGCGCAAGCCUGAACGAGCAAUGCCGCGUGAACGAGGAAGGUCUUCGGAUCGUAAAGUUCUGUUGAAGGGGAAAAAGAGCGGAGAGAGGAAAUGAACUCCGAUUGAUAUUACCCUUCGAGGAAGUCACGGCUAACUACGUGCCAGCAGCCGCGGUAAUACGUAGGGGGCAAGCGUUAUCCGGAUUUAUUGGGUUUAAAGGGUGCGUAGGCGGGUUAUCAAGUCAGCGGUAAAAUCGUGGAGCUCAACUCCAUCCAGCCGUUGAAA
rnacentral:rRNA from 1 species